rnacentral:tRNA from 1 species
GGGGUUGUAGCUCAGUGGUAGAGUGCUUGCCUGGCAUGUUGUGAGGCAUUGAGUUCGAUUUUCAGCACCACA